rnacentral:rRNA from 1 species
AGGGCACCACCAGGGGUGGAGCCUGCUGCUUAAUUUGACUCAACACGGGAAAUCUCACCAGGCCCGGACACUGGGAGGAUUGACAGGUUGAGAGCUCUUUCUCGAUUCGGUGGGUGGUGGUGCAUGGCCGUUCUUAGUUGGAGGAGUGAUUUGGCUGGUUAAUUCCGAUAACGAACAAUACUCUGUCCUGCUAAAUAACUCCCGCGUCCUUUGUUGCGCGGGAAAUUCUUCUUAGAGGGACUGGCGGCGUCUAGCCGCACGAGAUUGAGCAAUAACAGGUCUGUGAUGCCCUUAGAUGUUCGGGGCCGCACGCGCGCUACACUGAAGGGAUCAUCGUGUCUUCCCUUUCCGAGAGGAACGGGUAACCCGCUGAACCCCCUUCGUGGUAGGGAUCGGGGCUUGCUAUUAUUCCCCGUGAACCAGGAAUUCCCAGUAAGCGCAAGUCAUAAGCUUGCGUUGAUUACGUCCCUGCCCUUUGUACACACCGCCCGUCGCUACUACUGAUUGAACGUUUUAAUG